rnacentral:rRNA from 1 species
AGAGUUUGAUCCUGGCUCAGAUUGAACGCUGGCGGCAUGCUUUACACAUGCAAGUCGAACGGCAGCGCGGGGCAACCUGGCGGCGAGUGGCGAACGGGUGAGUAAUAUAUCGGAACGUACCCAAGAGUGGGGGAUAACGUAGCGAAAGUUACGCUAAUACCGCAUACGAUCCAAGGAUGAAAGCAGGGGACCGCAAGGCCUUGUGCUCCUGGAGCGGCCGAUAUCUGAUUAGCUAGUUGGUGAGGUAAAGGCUCACCAAGGCGACGAUCAGUAGCUGGUCUGAGAGGACGACCAGCCACACUGGAACUGAGACACGGUCCAGACUCCUACGGGAGGCAGCAGUGGGGAAUUUUGGACAAUGGGCGCAAGCCUGAUCCAGCAAUGCCGCGUGAGUGAAGAAGGCCUUCGGGUUGUAAAGCUCUUUUGUCAGGGAAGAAACGGUGAGGGCUAAUAUCCCUUGCUAAUGACGGUACCUGAAGAAUAAGCACCGGCUAACUACGUGCCAGCAGCCGCGGUAAUACGUAGGGUGCAAGCGUUAAUCGGAAUUACUGGGCGUAAAGCGUGCGCAGGCGGUUUUGUAAGUCUGAUGUGAAAUCCCCGGGCUCAACCUGGGAAUUGCAUUGGAGACUGCAAGGCUAGAAUCUGGCAGAGGGGGGUAGAAUUCCACGUGUAGCAGUGAAAUGCGUAGAGAUGUGGAGGAACACCGAUGGCGAAGGCAGCCCCCUGGGUCAAGAUUGACGCUCAUGCACGAAAGCGUGGGGAGCAAACAGGAUUAGAUACCCUGGUAGUCCACGCCCUAAACGAUGUCUACUAGUUGUCGGGUUUUAAUUAACUUGGUAACGCAGCUAACGCGUGAAGUAGACCGCCUGGGGAGUACGGUCGCAAGAUUAAAACUCAAAGGAAUUGACGGGGACCCGCACAAGCGGUGGAUGAUGUGGAUUAAUUCGAUGCAACGCGAAAAACCUUACCUACCCUUGACAUGGCAGGAAUCCCGGAGAGAUCUGGGAGUGCUCGAAAGAGAACCUGCACACAGGUGCUGCAUGGCUGUCGUCAGCUCGUGUCGUGAGAUGUUGGGUUAAGUCCCGCAACGAGCGCAACCCUUGUCAUUAGUUGCUACGAAAGAGCACUCUAAUGAGACUGCCGGUGACAAACCGGAGGAAGGUGGGGAUGACGUCAAGUCCUCAUGGCCCUUAUGGGUAGGGCUUCACACGUCAUACAAUGGUACAUACAGAGGGCCGCCAACCCGCGAGGGGGAGCUAAUCCCAGAAAGUGUAUCGUAGUCCGGAUUGUAGUCUGCAACUCGACUACAUGAAGUUGGAAUCGCUAGUAAUCGCGGAUCAGCAUGUCGCGGUGAAUACGUUCCCGGGUCUUGUACACACCGCCCGUCACACCAUGGGAGCGGGUUUUACCAGAAGUAGGUAGCUUAACCGCAAGGAGGGCGCUUACCACGGUAGGAUUCGUGACUGGGGUGAAGUCGUAACAAGGUAACC